GGCGGGCUCGGUCGGAGCGGGGCUCGGGGCUCCUCGCCGCAGCCCCGUGUGCCCCAGCCGGCAUCGCGGCGGGACGCGGAGCCCGGACCGUGCGGGGGAAAAAAAAAGAACAGAAAAGGGGGCCGGCGCUGGCGUUAUUGCUCUUUCCUCUCCUUAAGCAGGUCAAACGCGAUCGUUCAGAGCUAUUGAUUGCUCUACGGGCUUGUAGUGAUUUGUUAAAAGGCUAAUGGAAUGAGUCAUCGACAGAGUGGAUUAUUUAAAGCACCAUAUCUCAAGAGCAAGAGAUUUACUGCGUGAUGCCUGGCCACACCUUGAGUCCAUGCUCAGGAGAAGCAAAGGUAGGAACCGAAGUGACAAGGUGAUUGUUGAAGG